rnacentral:lncRNA from 1 species
AUGAGUAGGAAGUCAAGCAAAGGAGGUAGGAGACCUGCAUGGAUGAGCAAGGAGCUCCUGGCAAAACUCAACCAGAAGAAGGAAGUAUACAGAAAGUGGAAAGGGGGACAGGCCACUUGGGAGGAAUAUAGGAACGUUGUCAGAGUAUGCAGGGAUGUGACGAGGAAGGCUAAGGCCUGUUUGGAAUUAAAUCUGGCGAGAGAUGUCAAGGACAGCAAGAAGGGCUUCUUCAAAUACAUCAGUAGCAAGAGGAAGACUAGGGAAAAUGUGGGCCCUUUGCUGAAUGGGGUGGGUGCCCUGGUGACGAAGGAUGCAGAGAAGGCAGAGUUACUGAAUGCUGCCUUUGCUUCAGUCUUUACUGCUGAGGCCGGCCCUCAGGAACCGCAGACCCUGGAGGCAAGAGAGAAAGUCUGGAGGAAGGAAGACUUUCCCUUGGUGGAGGAGGAGUGGGUUAGAAAUCAUUUAAGCAAACUUGACACCCACAGAUCCAUGGGCCCUGAUGGGAUGCACCCACGAGUGCUGAGGGAGCUGGCGGAUGUCAUUGCUAAGCCACUCUCCAUCAUCUUUGAAAGGUCAUGGAGAACAGGAGAGGUGCCUGAGGACUGGAAGAAAGCCAAUGUCACCCCAGUCUUCAAAAAGGGCAAGAAGGAGGACCCAGGGAACUACAGGCCAGUCAGCCUCACCUGCAUCCCUGGAAAGGUGAUGGAGCAGCUCAUCCUGGAGGCCAUCUCCAAGCAUGUGGAGGACAAGAAAGCGAUCAGGAGUAGUCAGCAUGGCUUCACCAAGGGGAAAUCAUGCUUAACCAAUCUGAUAGCCUUCUCUGAUGGAAUGACUGGCUGGGUAGAUGAGGGGAGAGCAGUGGAUGUUGUCUACCUAGACUUCAGCAAGGCUUUUGACACUGUCUCCCAUAACAUCCUCAUAGACAAGCUCAGGAAGUGUGGGCUGGAUGAGUGGACAGUGAGGUGCAUUGAGAACUGGCUGAAUGGCAGAGCUCAGAGUUGUGAUCAGCGGCGCAGAGUCUAG